UACGUAGGGUGCGAGCGUUGUCCGGAAUUAUUGGGCGUAAAGGGCUCGUAGGCGGUUUGUCGCGUCGGGAGUGAAAACACUGGGCUUAACUCAGUGCUUGCUUCCGAUACGGGCAGACUAGAGGUAUGCAGGGGAGAACGGAAUUCCUGGUGUAGCGGUGAAAUGCGCAGAUAUCAGGAGGAACACCGGUGGCGAAGGCGGGUCUCUGGGCCGAUACUGACGCUGAGGAGCGAAAGCGUGGGGAGCGAACAGG
rnacentral:rRNA from 1 species